rnacentral:lncRNA from 1 species
GGUGAAGUCUUCUAGAAUACGGCAAUGCUUAUUAUAGAACAAACUAGCUCUCUAUUACAACAGGAAUAUGAAUAGAAGGUCUCCGAUAUUACAAUGAAUAACACCGGCACGGCGACACUACGCCAACCACAGUUGCUCUAUGCAGGCAACAUAACAACUCGGGGCAGCGGAACCUCUACUCGCAGCGGAACAACUAUUGACAGCGGAACAACGAACGGCUAUGAUGGACUCCAAUCCGCAGGGACUCUGGCUGGAAUGUUUAUCCUAGCUCGCGAACAUAGAAACCACACCAAACAAGCAAGCAAUCCAGGCACGACCUGCAAAGUGGUAUGACAAGCCAGGUCAGUAGAUUGAAUGUACUUGCAAUCUCACAAUAAUCAAAAGCACUCAAGACAAACAAUAGCAUAGCCUUAGCAAGUUAAAGCAAUCAUGAACAUGAUACUCACAGGACAACAUGGCAUGCACAAUUGAACAUGAUACAAUUUUAGCAUGGCACGAUCAUAUGAACAUGAUGAUACUACAUGCACCAGGUUAACAUUCACAUGCACCAACUUACUCUGCUCGGGUUACCUCGUAACCAAACGGUGAUCAUUCACGGAUCACAAACGGAACCACACUGGGUUCAACGUGUUACCUCGUAACCAAACGGUGAUCAUUCAUGGAUCACAAACGGAACCAUACUUGGUUCAACGGGUUACCUCGUAACCAAACGGUGAUCAUUCACGGAUCACAAAUAUCCAACAACUUCGGUAUCCACGAUACCACCGUGAUCCUCUCUCGAUCACAACCAACAUCUUUUCUCAUCAUCGAACUGGGGUUAUUAUUAAUCAGGUUAUCAUUAUUGUUGGCUCAUAGUGUGACUGAUUACGACUGGGCCCUUAUCCGCGGGCGCGGCUAUCGAUAAAUUUAACACACACUCUGCAGAGGUUAGUACACUGUACCCACGCCACGGAACCCAUGGCCUCGCACUCCCAUUCGGGUGGAAAAAGGCGUUCCGACAAAACCAAUCUACUGCCCAUGAAACUCUCCCGGCCACUCCGACCAACUCCCCUCUGGGCUAAGUCAUGGGUGGCCCUGUGCCUACCAAAGGCAUCAACGGCCACCAUCGUGUCAAAACACGGCCACCGUCGUGGCAAAACAUAAACGGUCCCAAAUAGGGACAUGUGCACAUAACCAAACUCGGGCUCACAAGGCUUAUGUCCGCCUACCUGAUCAGGGUAGCACGUGCCCAUGACCUUCCCUCGUUGGAGGCACCGGCGAGAGGCAUGACAAUAGACCCAGUUAGGACCUUCCCAUAAAGGAAAAUGUGGUUGCACUGGUCAGCUCGAUUUGGUGGCACCAUGACUCAGCCAACAGUUGUUUAAGUUCAUUAUUUAUCCGAUUAAACUUGAAUGCAAUAAGCUGAGCCAUAAUAAACUAACAUGAUGCAACUACGAUGCAUGAACAUGAUAUCAAUAUAAGCAUGGAGGUGCAACAUAAUCAUCGAGCAUAACCACAAUGAAGCAUAUACCCAACUGAGCAUGACAUACUGAUGAUCAUAACACCACACAGGAUCAUAGCAUGACUACUAGCAUCAUGAAUAAAUACCAUGCAAGAACAUAGCAAGAACACUACCAAGUAAGCAUGUAACGAGCUAGGCGAAAAGUAACAUGCAUAGCAACGGUACUUGAUAACAGACGGUAAACAUGCAUCAGAAAAUACACCACUGCUACCAGCAUAUACUACUACUAUCAAGCAUAACAUGUAACAAUGAUACUAGCAAGUAGCACAAGAUAACAAGAAGCAUCGGAACAUAUCAUGAAGGUGAAUAUGAAACCACGAGCAUAACCGAAACCACGACAACAGUAGCAAACAAGCAGACAGAUAACAGGCAAACUUUUAUUAAAUAUUCAAGUAGAAACCAUGGCUACUACAUGGCUAUCAUGCAAGUGGCUGUUGUGGCUUGCUUGGGGGUGACAGAGACUCCA